CACGUAGGGGGCAAGCGUUGUCCGGAAUUAUUGGGCGUAAAGAGCUCGUAGGCGGCUCGGUAAGUCAGGUGUCAAAUCCUCAGGCUCAACCUGGGGCUCCACCUGAUACUGCUGUGGCUAGAGUCCGGUAGGGGAGCGUGGAAUUCCUGGUGUAGCGGUGAAAUGCGCAGAUAUCAGGAGGAACACCAGCGGCGAAGGCGGCGCUCUGGGCCGGAACUGACGCUGAGGAGCGAAAGCGUGGGGAGCGAUCCGG
rnacentral:rRNA from 1 species